rnacentral:rRNA from 1 species
AAGUCGUAACAAGGUCUCCGUAGGUGAACCUGCGGAGGGAUCAUUACCGAGCGAGGGCCCCGGCCCGACCUCCAACCCAUUGAAGUUACCAACUCUGUUGCCUCGGGGGUGACCCGGCCUCCGCGCCGACGCCCCCGGAGGACCACACCACUCUGCGUUCCUGCGUCGGAGUUUAAGGGAAAAUGUUAAUUAAAACUUUCAACAACGGAUCUCUUGGUUCUGGCAUCGAUGAAGAACGCAGCGAAAUGCGAUAAGUAAUGUGAAUUGCAGAAUUCAGUGAAUCAUCGAAUCUUUGAACGCACAUUGCGCCCUUUGGCAUUCCGAAGGGCAUGCCCGUUCGAGCGUCAUUCUAACCAAAUCAAGCCCGGCUUGGUGUUGGGCGUCGGGGUGACCCGCGCCCCGAAUCGAUGGGCCCUCAAAAACGAGGUGGCCGACCGCCUAGCGUAGUGACUAAACUCCCGCACAGCGUGACCGCCUCUGCCCUCAAUGCACUGGUAACUUUUACCAACAGGUUGACCUCGGAUCGGGUAGGGAUACCCGCUGAACUUAA